AGAGUUUGAUCAUGGCUCAGAGCGAACGCUGGCGGCAGGCUUAACACAUGCAUGUCGAGCGGGCGUAGCAAUACGUCAGCGGCAGACGGGUGAGUAACGCGUGGGAACGUACCUUUUGGUUCGGAACAACMCAGGGAAACUUGUGCUAAUACCGGAUAAGCCCUUACGGGGAAAGAUUUAUCGCCGAAAGAUCGGCCCGCGUCUGAUUAGCUAGUUGGUGAGGUAACGGCUCACCAAGGCGACGAUCAGUAGCUGGUCUGAGAGGAUGAUCAGCCACAUUGGGACUGAGACACGGCCCAAACUCCUACGGGAGGCAGCAGUGGGGAAUAUUGGACAAUGGGCGCAAGCCUGAUCCAGCCAUGCCGCGUGAGUGAUGAAGGCCCUAGGGUUGUAAAGCUCUUUUGUGCGGGAAGAUAAUGACGGUACCGCAAGAAUAAGCCCCGGCUAACUUCGUGCCAGCAGCCGCGGUAAUACGAAGGGGGCUAGCGUUGCUCGGAAUCACUGGGCGUAAAGGGUGCGUAGGCGGGUCUUUAAGUCAGGGGUGAAAUCCUGGAGCUCAACUCCAGAACUGCCUUUGAUACUGAGGAUCUUGAGUUCGGGAGAGGUGAGUGGAACUGCGAGUGUAGAGGUGAA
rnacentral:rRNA from 1 species